rnacentral:lncRNA from 1 species
UGGCCAUCAUCUUAGCCUAUCAAUUCAUAAAAGAAGCAAAAGGCAAAAAAAAUGAAUUUUUCAUGUCAGACUUUGGCCAAGGUCUUCUACCAGUGAAACCUUUGGCUUCUACUCAACAUACAGAAAUGCUGUUAUCUAAAAUGCGUCCUUUGAUGCUUAUGGACUGCCACUCUGCAAAGCAUAAUUAGGGCUAGUGUGUAAAUACCCUAUAACAAAGCUGGACACCUAUCAACCUGAGCAGCCUCCAAGUGUGAAUAUCUCUCUUAUGUUCCCUUUUGACACAGGUGGCCAGACAUAAUCAUCUCCAUUGCAACUGAUAUCACUGAGGAGCAGUUGCCAAAUAGGCAAGCCUGAUUAAGUUUUGGCUAUUUUGUCAAGCUAUGCUUUUAAAAUAACUGAAACAACCCACUUUCAUCUCUGUGCCUGCCUUGGACAAGAACUGGUUUUGUUUUACCAUGUUUUAUGGAGCAAAACUUAGUGUCAGCAUUUCAUAAAUAUGGAAUGUCUUUUCCAUGCUCUAAGUUAUGUUUUAAUUUUAAUACAGUAGGCAGUUGCUUAGUUCAGUCUAAUUUAGUUGCUGCGUGAAAACUGAGAGGUAUCUGUUGUCAUUUUUUGCAGAACCUGGCUAUGGCUCUGAUCUUCUAGCAAAUUCACAGCAGAAUGGUUUUGCCAGCUUCAGCUGAUUUCUUCUUGAUAUCUUUUGACAGAAGCUGCCCGGUAGGUUUUGCUGCUAAACCAAGGAUGACAUUAAGCCGGGUGCUCCCUCAGCUGCAGCCGAGCCGCGGCUGACUCCUGGUGAGCGGCAAGAGCCCCGCAGUGCCCAGGCGCCGUGGAUGUUGCAGCCCAGCAGCAGCAGCAGCAGCAGCGUUGCGGCGUGCCUCCUGCCACACACACCCUUGGCAGCCAGACGUUGCCCUUUUAAGAAGCCCGGGUGCUGGCUCAGGUAGGCAGAGCCUGUGUGCAGUAGUCGCUCCUAUGGCAACCCAAUAGAAUGGGAUCGCUUCAUGAAUAUUCU